CCAACGGUGGCCAGACCAACACACCGCUGGACACUGUAGUAGCUGCUCGUCUCCGGCUUGUGUCAAGUCCGGUUAGGUCGAUCGUCGCGGCGGCACAAGUAUAUUAACGCUGUUGUUCGACUGUUCCGAAUUGGCCAAUGUGAUGGACAAGUGUCGUGUACAAUAGUAAUUAGAUGGACACACUGUGGUCAGUGCGGGACCUAUGACGUCACACCGAAAGCUGCCGCCAAAGGUAUAAUACAAUACAACACACUUCUAACUGGAACCGUACUUAGAGAACCCAACAAGAAACCACAAGACCCGCAAGCCAUAAUCAGCAACACUGCCGACCCAAAGUUCAUACAUACAUAUAUAAUAUUAUGUUAUAUAUUCAUUCGUUGCAUAUAUAUUAUAUUAUAUAAAUUCUACCGUUACCAAUUACCCAGCGUUUUACAAUUCACACAGAGUUACGGGUACAACAACAACAUGACCGCCGAGUACACGGCGUUCGCCCAACACUACUCUGGCCAAACAUACAUAUUAAUUCAAAUGUUCAAAACGACUACUGGUACACUGUGUAAGCGAUGCUCGGGCAAAAGACGAGGCGAACAGGGCGUUGGCAAAACGAGACUAAUUAAAAACUGGAUGUCGCUCCGAUAUUGUCCUGUCACAGCAGUAAUGUCAUGUUGUUUUUCAAUCGUACUGCUGUCGCGGGACAUUUACGGAGCUGUCGUUCGACUACGUUUUGAUUUUCUCCGGUUUAACGUCAGAAUCUAAUUUGGACUCGCACACACAUACCACCGUCGCCGCCAUAGUUCUAUAAUGUACUUGUUUAAUGUAAUGUUAUUGUAAUAUUGUAUCAUUACACUGUUAAUUAGUUAAGACAAAUCGUUUUAAUUGUAUAAAACACAAGUAAGAAGUGUACAUCUGUUUACAUAGAAAAUAUCACCUCACACGUUGUAAAGACCGGUUUCAAAAGUUAUUUCGUUUAUUUUUUAAUUCUUGAAUUCGUUUUCAAUCGAUUUCUAUUUUACUUAUUAACCAACAGACAAAAUUACCGCUGAAAAGACAUU